rnacentral:rRNA from 1 species
AGCCAUGCGAGUCAGAGCUUUCGGAGCUCGGCGUACCGCUCAGUAACACGUGGGUAACCUAACCUAUGCAGGGGAAUAACCUCGGGAAACUGAGUAUAAUGCCCCAUAGUCCACUACGCCUGGAACGGUGAGUGGAUCAAAGCUCAGGCGGCAUAGGAUGGGCCUGCGGCGUAUCAGGUUGUAGGGGGUGUAAAGUACCCUCUAGCCAUCUACGCGUACGGGUGUUGGGAGACAUAGCCCGGAGAUGGAUUCUGAGACACGAAUCCAGACCCUACGGGGUGCAGCAGGCGCGAAAACUUGACAAUGCGAGCAAUCGUGAUCAGGGAACUCCAAGUGGCUGGGGUAAGACCCAGUCUUUUCAUAACUCUUCAAAGGUUGUAGAAUAAGGGGUGGGUAAGGACGGUGCCAGCCGCCGCGGUAAUACCGGCGCCUCAAGUGGUAGUCGCUUUUAUUGGGCCUAAAACGUCCGUAGCCGGUUUGGUACAUUCGUGGGUAAAUCAACUCGCUCAACGAGUUGAAUUCUGCGAGGACGGCCAGACUUGGGACCGGGAGAGGUGUGGGGUACUCUCAGGGUAGGGGUAAAAUCCUGUCAUCCUGAGAGGAUCACCUGUUGCGAAGGCGCCACACUAGAACGGAUCCGACGG